CAGUCGCCGCGGUAAUACGAAGGGGGCUAGCGUUGUUCGGAAUUACUGGGCGUAAAGCGCACGUAGGCGGAUAUUUAAGUCAGGGGUGAAAUCCCAGAGCUCAACUCUGGAACUGCCUUUGAUACUGGGUAUCUUGAGUAUGGAAGAGGUGAGUGGAAUUCCGAGUGUAGAGGUGAAAUUCGUAGAUAUUCGGAGGAACACCAGUGGCGAAGGCGGCUCACUGGUCCAUUACUGACGCUGAGGUGCGAAAGCGUGGGGAGCAAACAGGAUUAGAUACCCCAGUAGUCCCUGUCUCUUAUAA
rnacentral:rRNA from 1 species